UACGAAGGGGGCUAGCGUUGUUCGGAAUUACUGGGCGUAAAGCGCGCGCAGGCGGCUAUCCAAGUCAGUGGUUAAAGCCCGGAGCUCAACUCCGGAACUGCCAUUGAAACUGUUUAGCUGGAGUAUGAGAGAGGUGAGUGGAAUUCCCAGUGUAGAGGUGAAAUUCGUAGAUAUUGGGAAGAACACCGGUGGCGAAGGCGGCUCACUGGCUCAUUACUGACGCUCAUGCGCGAAAGCGUGGGGAUCAAACAGG
rnacentral:rRNA from 1 species